rnacentral:lncRNA from 1 species
UAAUAUGCACAAUUCUUUAAUGAUCAGAUCAAGCUUGCCAGCACAAAAGCAGUAAAAGAUCUGUUAAAGGACGAGACACCCAUAUGUUUUCUAAAUUUAUUUUUUUUCUCUCUGAAAACAGUUUGCACUGACACUGUUACUGGAGCAUCAAAAAGUUGGGUUAUUCUCCGCUUUACAAGCCAUUCUGCAUAGAGAUUGCUUGAAAUAAUAGGAAAAACUAAGAAAGAGUUUCAUUGUCAGGGAAUCCAAUAUUCCUGCCUACAAUAUUUUGUCCCCAUUAUAUUAGAUCAUUUUGAUCUUCAGAAUCUAAGAAUGCAGAAUUGCCACAUCUGGUUUCUGAGACUUAUAGCAGAGACUGACAUUUACACAGAACCUCAAAAAUUUCACCUCGGCUCAGUGUUUGCACAAAAGUCAAUCCUCCUUAUACCGCAGAAAGAGCACCCAAACUCUUGCAACAUCUUUUAAUCAUCCGCCUCUUUAAGUUUCCUCUGAUAAAUCUUCAGGCCUUUUCCACUUCUAUCAGAUAAAAUGACCAUGAGUAAAAUUAGUGCAAUAUUGAAAAGACAAUAUACUGUCAAUUCCCAUAAUGCCCUUUCUCACCGAGAGACAGGGUUUGUUAUUCAAAGUGGCCUCAGAGAGCUAAAUUAAUAGGAUGCAUUGGUUAAGACAACUAUAAAAUAUCACAGCCACUGGGAUAACAACUAAGUUAUUGUAGAGGUUCUGAAAACGUCUUUUCCCUAUGUGUGUGCUAGGCUCAGCUUUGCCUUGGUAUCUUAUAAAUAAGCUGCAUAUCCAGGAAUAUGUCUUGCUUUCUACUUUGUUUGUUUGGUUGGAUUUUUUUGAGCUUAACUCUUCAUAACCAUAAGGAAAACCACAUUCCCGUCUCCUUUCUCAUGACCUAAAUCUGUUGAAGACCCUCGAUCCUGUAAUAUUUGUUUCUUCUGAAAGAAGACAGAAUGAAGACAGAACUGAACUUACCCUACUGCCAGUCAUUAAUCAUACUCAAACUUUACCAACUGGUGCUAACUUUUAAAAUGUAAUUAAUCAUAAUUUUUCAAAAGCUGCUUCUUACUAUUAAAAACAAAUUAAAGUAUCUCCUGUGUCCUUGUGUAUUCUUUUUUUUUUAAGUAUUUAAAACUGCAGUCCUUUCAUUGAUGCCCAGCUUAGCAGCUACGUUAAAAAAAAAAAAAAAUAAAAAAAA